rnacentral:tRNA from 1 species
UCCGACGUAGCAUAACGGUUAAUGCACUCGCCUGAUACGCGAGCGAUUAUUGGUUCGAAUCCAUUCGUCGGGA